GUGAGCACGCAGAGCGCGCGGGAAGCGUCCGUCAGUGAUCGGUCCCCGCCCGGCGCCAGACAAGACCGUGGUCCCUACGCCUGCAACGAGCACCACAAGGAGGAGUGUGAGGACUCGGACCGAGCUCCCGCGGAAACAAAGGCCAGCUUUCUACUUUUUACACUUCUGACCCUGGGAGCAGAUGAACUGACAUGCACUAUAAACUGAGAAUGAACAAUGCUGCAAAUCUCUUGUCUGCUUCUGGGCUGACUGAGGCACAUGCAGAAGACAAAGUGAAUGUGACACUUGGGGCAAGAAAAUACUUUCAGGAGCAAGAAGAGAUGAAAUACAUUAAAAAGACGGUUUCCAACAGCACAUAAGAUGGCCAAAAAGACCCAUCUGCCCAGACCAGAGGUAUCCAAAACUUCUUUAGUGAACAGCAGAGAAAACAUUUUUCAUUGGACAAGGCCAGAAGGACGAUUUCUUUAUAGCAAGGACUGUUGAAGAGGUUCCUGGAUGGACCAUUAAUCAAUUAAAGGGAAUGAUCGACUGAAGAGGGAUGUAAGAAAUACGCUGGCUAAUAGGAACUCUCAUUAGCUGCAAACCGAAGUAGACUUGUGAAGGAAAUCAAUACCACCUCAGCAUCAGGAUGAUGACAGUGAACCUUCAUCUGCAAGUCCUUGCUCAUCGCAAUUGAGGUUUGUCAUGGAGCUGGUCCCUAUUCAAGUGGAAGGGACUAACAUCACAGUAAAGAUUUACAGGGCGAGAUCCACAAUGAAGUUUUCAUUCUGGUUUUGCCCAGAAUGAAGGUUAUUGAAUCUCAAGAAAUCAUUAAAACAAACAGAUCAGGUUAUACCAUGAGGACAGCUCAUUUUCCUUUAUUAAAUGGAAAGAAUGAGAUGUGACAAGGGCCAGAAGACUUAAGGAACAAGACUGGUGAAUCAGUUGAUAUGAUCUCACCUGGUCUAAAUGAGAAGCGGUAAGAUGAAAAGAUGAAGAAUUUUUCAUGGAACAUCUUGCUCUACUAGUACAUACAAAUGGGAUUUCUGAAGACUGACAACUGUAAAAUUGUCAAGGACAAAACCACCUGAGUGUUUCACAAAAAUACUUUACACUGAUACAAGGGGAGUACAAUGUAUAACUGAUGUCUCUAUGCUUGAACCAUUAGCAGUGAAUUACAGCUGUAAUAAUUUAAAUUAUUUAUUCUAGAUCCUGGCGUAGGUGGGGAGAGGAACUGUAGGCAUCGUGUUUC